CCUACGGGAGGCAGCAGUGAGGAAUAUUGGUCAAUGGCCGAGAGGCUGAACCAGCCAAGUCGCGUGAGGGAAGACGGCCCUACGGGUUGUAAACCUCUUUUGUCGGGGAGCAAAGUGUACCACGUGUGGUUCAUUGAGAGUACCCUAAGAAAAAGCCUCGGCUAACUCCGUGCCAGCAGCCGCGGUAAUACGGAGGAUGCGAGCGUUAUCCGGAUUUAUUGGGUUUAAAGGGAGCGUAGAUGGGUUGUUAAGUCAGUUGUGAAAGUUUGCGGCUCAACCGUAAAAUUGCCAUUGAUACUGGCAGCCUUGAGUACAGUAGAGGUAGGCGGAAUUCGUGGUGUAGCGGUGAAAUGCUUAGAUAUCACGAAGAACUCCGAUUGCGAAGGCAGCCUACUAGACUGCCACUGACACUGAUGCUCGAAAGUGUGGGUAUCAAACAGGAUUAGAUACCCGGGUAGUC
rnacentral:rRNA from 1 species